GUGUCAUGAAAGAGAAUAUAGUAAUCGUUAAAACAACCGUUGAGACAUUAUGAAGUUUCAGAAAGAAUUAGCUAUUUAUUAAUAGGAGAGAAAAAUUUUAUAAUUUUUAAAAAUCCUCAAAAUAAUCCUAUCUGGUAGGCAAUUUUUAAAAUCACUAUUUUAUAAAUAAAGAAUCAGGAUGAGAAAGCAACUUGCUCAAGAGUACACCGCGAAGUGUCAGAGCCAAAAUUCAAAUCCAGGACUGAGGGACUUAAAUGCAUUUUAACUUGAUGAAAGAUUGUCAGUGUCUAUCCACCUAAAUCUUCUGUGACACUUUUCUGACACCCACAUGCUUGUUGUUUUUCCUGGGAUGAUAGGUAUACAAUGCUAUCUUGUAGUCAUAUUUCACCAUUCCAUAUCUACCAUGAAGUAAAUACAUGAUUUUUAGAAUUUAAUACAAUUAAAUUCACAUCCUUCCUCACUUGUUCUACUCAUUGGGCCGUAACUGAUACUCUAAAAUGUCAUUUCUCUUCCUUCUGUGCCUCUACCAACUAAGCUUCAUCUAAAUCUCUUCAUGGUAGCUGAUUUUAGCCAGUCUAUAGAAAGAAACAAAAACACCUCAAACUACAUAGCCCUAGGAUGUGAUGAAAUGGUUUAAUAAUUUUUUUUGCAAGAGAUGUGAUGUUUUAAAAAAUUUAAUAGCAGUGUGGUAGUUUAAACAAGUGCAUGUUUAAUCCUAGCGUUUCAAUGGGCAUGUUUGGCA
rnacentral:lncRNA from 10 species